CAGCGGGCCGGGAGCCGGGCAGGGGCUGCAGCCCCCGGCCCUGCCACACGUCUGCAGCAAUUUUUAUUUUAUUUUUCUUUUCCCCACCAGAGUGCAGAUCAGUCUUCACACACAGAUGUGUGCACAGCAACAGGUGACAAGGUCACAAUCUAAGGGACAAGUGCCUGGCCCAGCCUCCAAUGGGAACAACUCUGAGGCUCCAAACCACAUUGCUAGGAACAAAUCCAUGUACAGCAUUACUUGCCACUGAAUGCAGCAAGACUUUGUGUGCACCCUGAAGUCUGAGAGCUUGUGGGUCAAGGAUCAAGAUGCCAAAGGUGGAAAUGAAAUUCAAUAUUCAUGGCAAAUUUCUACAACCCCAGGCGAGACCCCCCCAUAGGUGUAAUUAUGCCCAUAAAAGAUUGGUGGUGGUUUUGGCAUGGUGCAAAUGUAAAGUGGUUCAAUUAUUCUGCUGAAGUCAAAAGGAUUUAACUUGUUCCUAAAAUUUCUUGCUAAACUGCCUUAUUCAGUACACUGAUUUCCAUUGGUCAACACCUCUGUGAUCUGAAUGCUGGUAGAAAACAACUGUUCCAUUAUUUUGUAUAUAAAGAUCCUCUCAGGCAAAAUAGCCUUCCUUUUCACAUAAAUAUUAAGUUUCAUACUCAAAUACUUUGUGUGAAUAAACUGUCAGCUUAGACUGCAAAAUGAGCCCUUCCCAAGGUUUUUAAUGUCAUUUUUAUACUCAUUUUAAUUUUAAAAGAAUUCCUUGCACACAGCCUUUGUUACUUGCUGCCAAUGAUUAGGUAAAAGGCUGCAGGACUGGACUAGAGGCUUGCAUUUUAGCCUUUUCUUAAAAUUCCAUAUUCAGUACAGAUCUGAAAAAAAACCAGCUCCUUUCUACUUACAUAGGGCCAUCCCUUUCUCUGAACCCCAGUGACCAGGUACUUAACAUCCCCUAUCAUUAAUAUUUACCACUUUUGAUUAGGAAUCAUAAAAUUUCACCGCACACUUCACUAGCCUUCUCUCAAAAUGUCACAAUGAAGCUGAGGUCACUUUUGCUUGAUUUGACAGGACAUGGCAUACACGUUGAGGGAGGAAAAGCAGCAUUUCAGGGUCUGAAAGGACAAAAAAGUAGCUGAUUUGGCUUCUACCAAUCUUGCCUGGGUUUGUGUGUGCUACCUGGGGCAGACAUAGGUGCAGGGCUUGUCCUCAGCAUCCUCCCAAAAGGGAGGGAAGAAACAGAUAGCACCAAAGAAGGUUCACAGGUUUCGCAUCAGAAACUUCUUUUAAAAAUCUGCCGAGGCCAACUACAAUAAUAAUAAUAAUAAUAAUAAUAAUAAUAAUAAUAAUAAUAAUAAUAAUAAUAGUAAUAGUAGUAGUAGUAGUAUUGGAAACAAUCAGCUAUUUAUCGCUGAAAGUUUUGGAAGGGGAAAAUCCAACAGUUAAUUGUAUCUCUAAAAUUUCAAGGAAGUAAAAUGUUGCUGGGAGCAACGGAUAAGUCCUUUAUUUUAGCUCCUGAAUGGCAAACCUACCAGCUUCCUUGUAACACUGCCAAGCUGUAAGUGUCAUUUAAGGAGAGCAAUACAACAGUUUAUUGUUGUUCUCCAGCACUGCUUAGGAUGUAGAAAGAAGACUGUUUGUGAUACAUUAAAGGUCACAAAUAACUGGCAAUUUAAUAGGAAAAAAAAUCUACUCUACACGCAAGAAUAUCUCAAAGGCACACUUAAUAACAUAGCAGCCUGAGUAUGUUCUCUUUUAUUAAAAUACUGUGAAGGGCCAUCCUGUUUCAUUUCAAUGAGCUAAUAUGCAUCACCACCUCAGAAAAGCUCUGUUAAAAAAAUAAGAAAACAGAUACUAUAAAGCUAUUGCAUCUAUUGCAGCACUGCACAACAUUCAGGCCAUUUUGCAGUAUAUUCAAUAGGGAAAUUUAACCUAUCAAUACAAUUGAAGGGAUUUCACUCUCAUUGCCAAAAUCAAUGAUUGGUAUUAAAAUGGAUUGCCACAUAUUCUUGAAAGAGUUGUUCAAUCAUUUGACAUUUGUGCAGAUUGCUAUCUUUAUAUAAAGGGAUUCUAUCUCAUAAAAAUGAUUGAUGAAAGUGGGGGAAAACUAUUCCCAUUUCAAACCCAUAUACUGUUACUGUAUAUGGGUAGAAUACCUACUGUAUCUGAAUCACAGAACUGAAUCACAGAAACUCCUACACACAAAACUGAUCAACUCCUUAAGUGCUCUGUUGAUAUUUGACCCAUUGUAUGCUGAAGCUUUGCAAACUUUGAACAGAGAGAAACGGAAAGAAACUGUACAAUUUAUUCCUGAGCUACUGGAAUAAAAGGAAAACCGUGUUUUAGUUGGAAUGCUGAGAAAGGAGAUCAGGUGUACGAUUUUUCUUUCAUUCAUGCAACCCAUGAACAGUUAUCUCUGAACCACAAUUAAGUGUUUUUAUGCAAACAUCCACACCUCAUUUUAAUCCACACAAGUGCCCAUUCCCUUUUUUCAUGUUGGCUCAUCAAGAAUAAUUUGAAACAUCUCCAAACAUCAAGAGUGUAGCAGCUAGGUGGAUUCAUUCAAUUUGACUGAAAAACAUCAAUACCGAAAUCUAUGUUUUCAGAAAAGAUACAUCUGUGAACAUUUCAAUGCAGUUGUUCCAAGGCCAGAGUUAAGGUUAUCUUGUGCUAUCCUUCAUGUGUUUAGUGAGCCAACAGUCAUGCACAGGAUAAGCUGCUGUACCUGCUAGAAAUAAACUAUUUCAUUUAUUUCAUUUAAAUGAAAUAAAGUAAAUAAAGAUAUUUACUGAGGUAGUUUCUGUACUGAGUUGUGGUAGGGUUUUUUCCCUCCUAAACCCUUUCUAGGGGGACUCUUUGCUGCUCUUCUGCUUGACAAUCUAUGCAUAUGCAGACAGAGAUUACUCCAGAAUUUUUUCUUUUUCUCUACUAACAUUUUCUGGUCUGGGACACUAAGUUACCGUGAAAUAGUCCUCAAAUACUGCAAAACUUCAGAUGUUUUUCAGAACAUCUCAGGCCUCUGUCAGAAUGUCUUACUAUAUUUUACUCAUGUUUGUCUCUUGAUUUGAUAACCCUAUGGGGACAACCACUCUAAGAAUAAGCAAGAGGUUUUUGUGAUACUGGGCACGGUGGCCCUGCAGAUCCCUACAAUUUUUCUUCCAUGAGAAAAUACUAAGCUCAGGCAAAUUGAAUAAACAGGAAAUUUUGUUCUUGUAUAAUAAAUGAAGAAAGCCUUUUUUCAGGGUCUGAAUUGACAGUAGGAGAGAGCAGUUAUUUCCACCAACUUUUGCUCUUUAUGUUCUGUAACACCAAUGAAUAGUAAAAUUAUUUUAAAAUUGUAUUACAGGCCACAGAGUCUUUAAGACUUACUCCAUUUUCCUGUUUGGGGGAAUAACCAGUUCACUAACAGAAAGCAAGAAGAGAACAUGCCCAUUUGCUAGCCAGCUUUGUUAAAAGAACUACUAAGAAUUUCUUACUACGUUGUAGCAGCUUUGAGGAAAGCAUUAUUGCUAAAUGUUUUUAACACUCAGGAAGAGCUUCGCAGAAUGUGAGCCACUUUUAAGUCAUAGAGUAGAAAGCAAAACAAUUUCAGAAGGCAUGCUGAAGAUAAUCCCUGUUUCUUGGAGAGAACAUGAAUCACCUGGGCCUUGUUACAGAAAGCUGCACUGAGCUUUGCAUUAGAGAAGUGGGAUGGGACAAAAAAGGGCAAAAGAGAGGUAGGUUAUUCCACAGUGUAAUCUGAAUGGUUUUUUUCUGUUGAUGAUUUAAUCACCAUCAGAACCAUGGGAUCUGAUGGAUAACCUGUCUCUCAAGAAACCCACACCACCCACCUCUCAUAGGCAGUGCUGAAUGGUCAGUACUAUUCUGUGCUACUUAGUACUGCUCGCUGUCAUAAAGAUUAAAUGCAAGCAUAAAAAGAGGACCCAGAAGCCAUGACGCUGGGCAUUUUUUCCCCUUGUUUUCAAUAUUUGGUUGUUGACUUAUGCAGAGAAUAUAGGAGAAAUUGAAGAAAUUCUCCCUCAAAAGAAUAUUCUGUUUCUACCGUCUAUGUGCAUUUAUGCUAUAUUGCAAUGAGCACAGAUGAGACUAGUUUGUAGCCUGCAAUUUGUUUAUAAUAUUUCAUCUUGAAUAUCUAUAGUUAAAACAGAAGAAAAUUAGUGCACUGGUAGGCAUUACUGCUAGGUAAGUCAUCCAGAAUAGCUUCAUUGCCUGUUCACAACAUGAGAAAAAUCUACUAGAUGCCCAGCAAUGCAGAAUACAGUGCAUUAAGAUAAGAAGAAAGAAUCACAGAUUUGUAGAAUAGUUUUGGUUGUAAAGGACCUUAGAGAGCAUGUAGUUUCAACCCUCCCUCCAUGGACAGGGACACUUUGCACUAGACCAGGUUGCUCAGUGCCCCAUCCAUCCAUGUUGGACUUUGAAUGCUUCCAGAGAUAGGGCAUCCACAAUCUCUGGGCAUCCUGUUGCAGUGCUUUACCACGCACAUUGUAAAGAAUUUCUUCCUAAUAUCUAAACUGAACCUGCCAUCCUUCAGCUUAGGGCCAUUCCCCCUUGUCCUGUCACUACACACCCUUGUAACAAGUCCCUCUCUUGCUUUCCUGUAGGCUUCCUUUAGGCACUGGAAGAUGCUAUAAGGUUUCCCUGCAGCCUUCUCUUCUGCAGGCUGAAUAGCCCCAGUCUCUCAGUCUGUCUUCAUUGGAGAGGUGUUCCAGGCUUCUGAGCAUCUUCAGGGCCUUCCUCUUGAGUCAAUCCAACAGGUCCUUGUCUUUCUUUCCAUUUGGGACUCCACAGCUGGAUGCAGCACUCCAGGUGGAGUCUCACAAGAGCAGACCAGCCAGGCAGAAUCACCUCCACUGAUCUGCUGGUCCUGCUUCAUUGAUGCUUCUCAGGGUACAGUUGGCCUUCUGGGAUACAAGUGUGUAUUGUUAAUUCACAUCAAGCUUCAUGUCCAGCAAUGCCUCCAAGUCUUUCUCCACAGGGCUCCUCUCAAUCCAUUCUCCACACAGCCUAUAGUGCUUGGGAUUGCCCUGACCCGGAUGCAGCACCUUGUGCUUGGUCUUGCUGAACUUCAUGAAGAUGGCAAAGGUCCACCACUCAAGUUUGUCCAGGUCCUGCUGGAUGGUAUCCCUUCCUUCUGUUGUAUUGAUCACAUCACUUAGCUUGGUGUCAUCAGCAAACCUGCUAAGAGUGAACUCUGUCCCAGUGUCCAUAUUGCCAACACAGAUGCUGAACACCACCAGUCCUGACACCAAUCAACGAGGAACACCACUUGUCAUCAGUCUCCACUUGGACUACCAAUUCACUUCCCUCACACAAGUUGGUAGUAAAGAUUUCCUGAUCAAAA